CGUAGGUGGCAAGCGUUGUCCGGAAUUAUUGGGCGUAAAGGGCGCGUAGGCGGUACCUUAAGUCAGAUGUGAAAACCCGAGGCUUAACUUCGGAGGUGCAUUUGAAACUGGGGAACUAGAGUGCAGGAGAGGUAAGUGGAAUUCCUAGUGUAGCGGUGAAAUGCGUAGAUAUUAGGAGGAACACCAGUGGCGAAGGCGACUUACUGGACUGUAACUGACGCUGAGGCGCGAAAGCGUGGGGAGCAAACAGGAUUAGAUACCCUGUAGUCCACGCUGUAAACGAUGGAUACUAGGUGUGGGAGGUAUCGACCCCUUCCGUGCCGCAGUAAACGCAAUAAGUAUCCCGCCUGGGGAGUACGGCCGCAAGGUUG
rnacentral:rRNA from 1 species